UUGCUGUCCACGAGUACGUCAAUAUAUUUAACCUUAUUUUAUUUAAUCUUUUUAAAACCCGUGUACAGGUAUCUUUCUGCGGCAAUUGGUCAUUUGCGUCUAGCAAAAGUGAAGUCCUGUGGUCACAGCUCUUUUGAAUGCUCGCUUAAAGUAACGUUCACCUAGGUUAGCAUAGCAAGUUAACGUUAGCUUUCGCUGUUUCUCGGUUCGUGAAUUAAACAUGUCUCGUUUAAAACCACUUAGACUGCAAAUCUAGUUCGGCUUUCGGAUAAACAUGCAAGCGCCACGGUCUGCAGCUGUGGCCGAAACAGGGCAGCUCGGUGGAAGGGGGAACGCAGCAGCUGUGGGGGACUCCAGUAAUGAUACUAAAACACAUUUUCGAGUCUGCCGCUUCAUCAUCGAGACAGGAGUGAAGUUGGGCAUGCGGUCAGUCCCCGUGGCCACUGCAUGUGCUCUGUACCACAAGUUCUUCCAGACAGCCAGCUUAGAGGUCUAUGAGCCAUACCUAGUAGCUAUGUCCUGCAUAUACCUUGCAGGCAAAGUUGAAGAACAGCACCUCAGGACAAGGGACAUUAUCAAUGUCUGUCACAGGUAUUUCCACCCUGGACGUGAUCCGCUGCAGCUGGACAGCAAGUUCUGGGAGCUGCGAGACAGCGUGGUGCAGUGUGAGCUCCUCAUUCUCAGACAGCUCAACUUUCAAGUGUCCUUUGAGCACCCUCAUAAGUAUUUGCUACACUACCUGCUCUCUGUAAGGUGUUUGCUGAAUCGUCAUGCCUGGUCUCGGACACCCAUCGCGGAAACAGCCUGGGCCCUGCUCAAAGACAGCUAUCAUGGGCCAGUGUGUGUCCAGCAUCGACCCCAGCACCUCGCCCUCACUGCACUGUACCUCGCUCUGCACACAUACGGAGUGCAGGUCCCCAGAGGGGAAAGAGAAUGGUGGCAGGUUCUUUGUGAGGACGUUACCAGAACUCAGAUUGAAGACAUAAUGACCGAACUGCUGCAGCUCUAUGACAUGGAGGCCAAGUGCACAUGAAUGCAAAGCAGAUAAGGACCAAAUUCAGCAUUUUACCCAAAGCCAAACAACUACAGACCAUUCAGAUCAUGGUCCAAAUCCCAGGACAGGUUCUUUUUGAUCGUCUCAUGAUUUGGACCCUACAGUUGGAUUUCAGUGCAGCUAAUGAAGUUGUUAAAGCGGCCGUGCCAGUGUCUGUGCUGGACAGCACUGUCAGGAAGAUGUGAGGUAGGACGGAGAAGGCCGGAGUGUGUGAGUCACCAGGUGACAGUCUGAAAAACAGGCUUUAGCCACAGCACAUCAAUCAGCUCCCAAGCUCAUGCCCUACUUUCUUCUUCUCCUACCUCGUUCCAUUUUCUCCUGGAAGAGAAGAGAGACGGAGAAAGUGAGAGAAAAAAAACAGAAUAAAAGGAGAGAAGUAACAGUGCCAGCCGAUCCCCAGAGCUGGACUGCGACUUGAGAACUUAUCCCUGAGGUUCCCUGCAGUUACGCUACAGUACAGUAUAACACUGUAAAUGAUGGUUGCGUCAGAUGGGAUUGGGUUACAUCAGACUGAAAAUGGAUGGACGGAAGUGUUUAUAAUGUGCUGCGAUUCAUUGUUUUUUCCAGUGUUCUUUCUUUCUUUGGUUGCCAUUAAAGUGUUUUCUGCAUUGAA